GUGCCAGCCGCCGCGGUAAUACGGAAGGGGCUAGCGUUGUUCGGAUUUACUGGGCGUAAAGCGCAUGUAGGCGGCGGAUCAAGUGAGGCGUGAAAGGCCUGGGCUCAACCUGGGAACGGCGCUUCAGACUGGUUUGCUCGAGUUCGGGAGAGGGUGGUGGAAUUCCCAGUGUAGAGGUGAAAUUCGUAGAUAUUGGGAGGAACACCGGUGGCGAAGGCGGCCACCUGGCCCGAGACUGACGCUCAAGUGCGAAAGCGUGGGGAGCAAACAGGAUUAGAAACCCCUGUAGUCC
rnacentral:rRNA from 1 species